rnacentral:rRNA from 1 species
UAGUAGCGGCGAGCGAAGCGGGAAGAGCUCAAAUUUAUAAUCUGGCACCUUCGGUGUCCGAGUUGUAAUCUCUAGAAGUGUUUUCCGCGUUGGACCGCACACAAGUCUGUUGGAAUACAGCGGCAUAGUGGUGAAACCCCCGUAUAUGGUGCGGACGCCCAGCGCUUUGUGAUACACUUUCAAUGAGUCGAGUUGUUUGGGAAUGCAGCUCAAAUUGGGUGGUAAAUUCCAUCUAAAGCUAAAUAUUGGCGAGAGACCGAUAGCGAACAAGUACCGUGAGGGAAAGAUGAAAAGCACUUUGGAAAGAGAGUUAACAGUACGUGAAAUUGUUGGAAGGGAAACGCUUGAAGUCAGACUUGCUUGCCGGAGCUUGCUUCGGUUUGCAGGCCAGCAUCAGUUUUUCGGGGUGGAUAAUGACGGUUUGAAGGUAGCAGUCUCGGCUGUGUUAUAGCUUUCCGUUGGAUACAUCCUGGGGGACUGAGGAACGCAGCGUGCUUUUUGCGAAAGACUCGUCUUUUUCACGCUUAGGAUGCUGGUGGAAUGGCUUUAAACGACCCGUCUUGAAACACGGACCAAGGAGUCUAACAUGCUCGCGAGUAUUUGGGUGUCAAACCCGGAUGCGCAAUGAAAGUGAAUGUAGGUGGGAACCGCAAGGUGCACCAUCGACCGAUCUGGAUUUUUUAAGAUGGAUUUGAGUAAGAGCGCGUAUGUUGGGACCCGAAAGAUGGUGAACUAUGCCUGAAUAGGGCGAAGCCAGAGGAAACUCUGGUGGAGGCUCGUAGCGGUUCUGACGUGCAAAUCGAUCGUCAAAUUUGGGUAUAGGGGCGAAAGACUAAUCGAACCAUCUAGUAGCUGGUUCCUGCCGAAGUUUCCCUCAGGAUAGCAGAAACUCACAUCAGUUCUAUGAGGUAAAGCGAAUGAUUAGAGGCCUUGGGGUUGAAACAACCUUAACCUAUUCUCAAACUUUAAAUA